rnacentral:lncRNA from 1 species
CCUUACGUGUUGCUGGGAAAUACGUGAUGGUCACUUGCAGGGAGGGGGUGAGGAAGUAAUUGUGGAAUAUCCCAAUAAAGGUCUUGAUUACUUGCAUGGAAAAGUAAAUGGUUCUAAGCCUCAAAAAGUAUAUGGUUCUAAGCCUCAAAAAGUAUUUGAUUCUAAGCCUCAAAAAGUAUUUGAUUCUAAGCCUCAAAAAGUAUUUGAUUCUAAGCCUCAAAAAGGAAGCAGACGUUCUGCCUCUAUGAGAGACUUUAAGGUAGAUUCAACUCCUGAGACAGAUUCUAAGUUUGAUACAACUCCUGGGACAGACUCUAAGGUAGGGUCAAACCC